AACGAACGCUGGCGGCAGGCUUAACACAUGCAAGUCGAACGCUCGACCUUCGGGUCGGGAGUGGCAGACGGGUGAGUAACGCGUGGGAACGUACCCUUCGGUUCGGAAUAACCCAGGGAAACUUGGGCUAAUACCGGAUACGUCCUGGCCUGGAGACAGGGUGGGAGAAAGGUUUACUGCCGAAGGAUCGGCCCGCGUCGGAUUAGCUAGUUGGUGGGGUAACGGCCCACCAAGGCGACGAUCCGUAGCUGGUCUGAGAGGAUGAUCAGCCACACUGGGACUGAGACACGGCCCAGACUCCUACGGGAGGCAGCAGUGGGGAAUAUUGGACAAUGGGCGAAAGCCUGAUCCAGCCAUGCCGCGUGAAGUGAAAGAAGGCCUUUAGGGUUGUAAAGCUCUUUCAGCGGGGAACGAUAAUGACGGUACCCG
rnacentral:rRNA from 1 species